GACGAACGCUGGCGGCGUGCUUAACACAUGCAAGUCGAACGGAAAGGCCCCUUUGGGGUUCUCGGGUGGCGAAACGGUGGGGUAACACGUAAUUAACCGCCCUUAACUUCCGGAUAAACUUAGGGAAACUGGGCCAAUAACGGGUAAGAAAUCUUGCUUCCUUGGGGGGGGUGGGAAGGUUCGGCGGUUUUGGAUGGACUCGCGGCUUAUCAGCUUGUUGGUGGGGUAGUGGCUUACCAAGGCUUUGACGGGUAGCCGGCCUGAGAGGGCGACCGGCCACAUUGGGACUGAGAUACGGCCCAGACUCCUACGGGAGGCAGCAGUGGGGAAUAUUGCACAAUGGGCGGAAGCCUGAUGCAGCAACGCCGCGUGCGGGAUGACGGCCUUCGGGUUGUAAACCGCUUUCAGCAGGGGCGAAGCUUGUGGUGACGGUACCUGCAGAAGAAGCACCGGCUAACUACGUG
rnacentral:rRNA from 1 species